CUUCGUUAAAUCGAGGUUCCACUGUGUAACAACUCCGUUUUGCUCCACAGCAGCGAGCCAACGCAAAUGUAAUCUUCUUUUCAGUUUCUCUGACGUUGACCUUGCUAUCACUGCACACGAUAUUUGCUAAAGGUGUGUGUUCCUCUGAUAGGUUACUGGGCCUCGCUAGGGGCUCCCCUUUGGAGCUUUUUUUGGCGCAGGGGCGGUGAUUGGUAGACCGAAGGCGGACAGGAUUUUUUAAUCGGCGUCGAAAUAUCCCACCUCAUUUGCACGCUCGAGAUUGAGGCAGGCAGAGUAGUAAUAAAUCGUCGUCUUAGAUCAUGGAUUACACUGGUUUUGGAAGCUAGAGGUUCUAGCGACCGAGAAGGAAUAGUCGAACCCGAGCUUUCAAAACUAAAAGCAGUGACGGCUUUUUCACUUCAGUAGCAGAGAGAAGGAAGAAAAUCCCUGGGAAGAGGAAGAUUACCCGUAACGUAACGAUGCUGAUUGUGUUUUUCAGUGCUGACUCUUCAUUACGUUUUGAAGAACAUUUUUAUACAGAUCAAUCCAAACUGACUUUUAGUGCGAAGAAGGAGUAAUAGUAAAAUGAUUUUCAUGAUGAUGAGCUCAA